UAUGAACUCCUUCUUUACAGAGUUGAACAUUUUUUAAUUAUUUUGCAUGGUGCUGAACCCACUGAGAGCUCAUGAUAAAUAGGUCUUCUAUGAGUACACCGACAAUUUCAAACACUACACUAGGAACUGAAUUUGGAUAAAUCAUAACCUGCCACAGGGGCUCACUUCUAGGGGAGGUGACAGACAGAAGGCAGAAGCAGAAAUCAGAGUCCAAGCACAAGGAUUAUUAAAGGCACCAUUGUUGGCUUGAAGAGAAAGAGGACCAUACAGCAAGGAAAUAGGGACCACAGUCCCACAGCCAUAAGGCACUGAAUUCUGCCAAUAUCCAUUGUGCUCAACAAUCACCGUUUUAGUACCCUGUGCCAGGUACCAGGCCAGGCAGUGUGGAUACCAUUUCAGGCUCCCAGACCUCGGUAGGGAUCAUGUUGCUGCCUUUUUUCUCCAGAAGCUGUGUAAAGUAAUAUUACAGCAGUGGUAGUAUGACAUAUGGAGAAAGAAGAGGCUAAAGGCAGGUGAGAAGCACGGAGGCUGCUCAGGAAACCAGUUUCAGACUAGACCAAGCAGUAAAAACUGAAUUUUAAUUAUCUACUGGAAAUUUCUCCAGAAUAAAGGUCUGGUUCAGUUUCUAUAUUGCCUCUAUGGGUCCCAGUCUAUGAAAUGCCAAGGGUUGGACUGACCAAAAGUCUUCAGAUUACCUCUCUCUUCCGUCCACCCCUAAUGCUUCUUGUCUACCAUAUUCCAUGGUGCCGGCCAGCAAAGUGUACCUGUUUAAUUCUCUAGGCUAUAACAAAAUGUAAUAAACUGGGUAGCUUAGACGCAACAGAACUUGAUUUCUCAUCGUUCUAGAAGCUAAGGAGUUCACGAUCAAGGUAGCAGCAGAGUUGGUGCCUGUUUUUUGAAGGUUGGAAGUCCAACAUCAGAGUGCCAGCAUGAUCAGAUUCUGGAGAGGACCCUCUUCUGGUUGCAGACUGCUGACUUCUUGUUGUAUAUUCCGAUUGUAGAAAGAGAGCAAGAGAACUCUCUGAUAUCUUUCUUUAUAAGGGGGCUAACCCCAUUUAAGGGGGCUCCCCCCUCAUAAUCUAAUUAUCUCUCAAAGGCUAUAACUUUCAACACCAUUGCAUUGAAGGUUAAGAUUUCAACAUGUGAAUUUGUAGCGGGGUGAUGGGGAGAGGGACACGCAAAUAUUUAGUCCAUAAUGCUGCAUACUAACAAAAAAAUGAAGUGGGGUAAAGGGUCACUUAAGUGGAUCCCUGCAGUAUUAAAGGGCACAUUAUAGUUCAUUCAUCCUUUUAGUCAGUAAAUAUUGAGCACACACUAUGAGCUAAAUUCUAGGUGCAUGUUAGAGCUUUGGUAGUACCACAAUAAAAUAGACUUUGUCCCUAUCCUCAGGGAUUUUAUAAUUUUGUGAAAGAGAUAUGCAGAUAGGCAGUUAACAUGCAAGUGGUGAUUGCUCACAAAGAGAAAAGCAGGGGGCUAUAAAAUUAGAGAAGCAAAGCGCACUUACCCUGUGUAGAGCUGGAUACAGAAUGUUUGCUAGAGGAAGUGGUGCCAAGUAGAUUUAGAUGAAGAAGGUGGUGAUGAGAGGACAGAAGUAAUCGAAGAAAUGAAACAUAGAAGAAAGGAAAUAGUACACAAGAAGCUGUAGGAGAAAGGAGAACGCGCACUCCUGGCAAAAGGGAUAGCACGCACAUAGGUUAGAGGUAAGAGGGCACAGCAAGGCUGCCGAGGCCCUGGGAGCUCAGCAUGGUUCGAAUGCAGUUGUGCAGGAGGACUGGCAUACGCUCUGCUUCUUGGAGGUUACAGCAACUGCUACUCUCUGAGGGCUGUGUUACUUAUCUAUCCACUCAUCUAACAACAUGUCAUAACACACUAAGGGAAUUCCUCCAGACCUUUGGACAAAAAUGUUCUAACUUGGUUCAAAAUAAUUUAUACUCAACAUUCUUAGUAUCUUGCUUUGAAAAUAAAUGGAUGAAGUAUAGUGUUCUGGCUACUGUGCUGUGUAACAAAUUGCCCAACUGUAGCGGCUUAAAAUGACAAUUAUUUUAUUACGUUCGCAUAAGUGUAGGUCAGGAGCUCAUAAAGGGCUAAAGGAGGAAGUUUGUCACACACCUAUGGUGUGAGGCUACCUCCUAGACAAGACAAAUAAUGGACCACUUGGCUUGUUUAGUGAGUGCAUGGUAAGCAGGGGCAUGUGAGAGUUUACUUAAAGGCAGACUUCCCCCUCUGGUCACGUUGGUCCAGCCCAUUCAACUGGGCCUUGCCUGGCCUUCCAGUUUCUGAAUUCCUACUUAGCAUCUGAGAUGGCUUGACUCUCAUUCUGCACCAGAGUUUAUAAAUGGACUUUUGUGACUGGACCAAGCUUCUAAUGCCACAAUGGCUCUGCCUGCCUACUCUUCUACUCUAUGCAUUUCAUUCUUCUUCCUUUCUGCUCAGAAUUAAGUCUGAAUUGAAUGCUCCAAUAGUUUCAUAGAUAUUCUCAUAGAUAUAAAUAUUCUCAUAGGUAUUCUCAUAUAUCUUGGUUCAUUCCUGAGGGUUCUUGAACCUCUCUGUUAUUUUUACUUCUUUCAACCCUGUGCAAUUUGAGAAAGCUUAUCAAACUGGGAGUAGGAACUAUGUCUCAUUGGUUUCUUUUAAAAUUUCUCUUUAAAAAUAUUUACUUAUUUUUUGAACGGGUAAUAUAUUCACAUAGAUAAAAAUCCCAAGAUGAAAGUAUAAAUAAAUAGGUUCCCUUCCACCGUACCCUGUGCGUCAUAAAUCCCCCCAGUUUGUCUAGUACAGGUUCUCAAAACAUUUACUGAAUUUUUGUAGUCAAGUUCCUUGAUACAUACGCCUAGUACAUCAGUUGGAUUUACUAUAAAGCUGACGAAUCUUUAGCCUCAGGGCUCCUCACCUGCUGGGGCUCCUUCCAGGUCCUCUUCCAGAAUCAUCAUCAACAUGUUUCUAUGCCUUUGUAAAAGAUUCAAUUGUAAUACAUUUUAACCACAUCAUUUCCAUCUGUUGCCCUUUCCACUGCAGCCCCUUGGCAUACUCUGCCUCCUGUAAGGGGGCAUUCGAGUAGCCUGUGGCAACUUUAGUAUAUAGAGAAGGGGAAAUCGAAAUGGGAAUACAUUUUAGUUGGGUUUAGUGAGAGUUUAUGAACUUUGCAGUCUUUUUGUGAAUAGCUAAGUAAUGGUUAAGUAUAGCAAUGACUGUCAGUUCUAUUCUUAACUGCUUACCAUGCAGUUUACCUAGUAUCAUGAUGUGAACCUGCAGGGCCAGACUUAUUUUCUAUAUAUAAAAGUGCCCUAUAGCAUCUACAAUUGGGGUUACAUAAUGGAAAAGAAGAUAGUGUUUAUUAAUACGAAUACUGUUAUUUUUCUGAAUUUUGUGAUGUUUGUGGUAUCCAUCAGCACUUUUAUAUUUGCAAUUUUUCCCAUUUCUUUUCUUCAUUUUAUAAACACUUUUCAUACAGUUUCUUUGUUACUUUAUGUUCCUCUUUUCUUAGUGAGGUGUCCAAAAUUGUAAGAAUGCUUUAUCCCACAAAAAAUUGAUCCUCUCUUUUACAGAAUUUCCCAGCAGAUGUCUUUUUCAUUUCCUUUGCUUGUGGUUUGCUCAUCUGCCAGCUGUGAAUGACCCAAACAAGACAUGCGGUUUCUUACUCAACAGUCCUGGAACUUUCUUGACCUUUGACAAAGCCACCGGAUCACCAUCACCAUCAUUAUUGUUUAUAGAAACAUGAAAAUUCAACCAUAAAAGGUCAUCUUGGGCUGAGCAUGGUGGCUCUAACAUGUAAUCCCAACACUUUGGGAGGCUAAGGUGAAGAGAUCACUUCAGGCCAGGCAUUGAAGAUCAGCCUGGGCAACACAGACAGAUCUCCU